rnacentral:tRNA from 2 species
GCCCAGGUGGUGGAAUUGGUAGACACGCUAUCUUGAGGGGGUAGUGGCCGUAGGCCGUGCCGGUUCAAGUCCGGCCCUGGGCACCA